rnacentral:misc_RNA from 1 species
GAUGAAGAACGCAGCGAAAUGCGAUAAGUAGUGUGAAUUGCAGAAUUCAGUGAAUCAUCGAUUCUUUGAACGCACAUUGCGCCCCUUGGUAUUCCAUGGGGCAUGCCUGUUCGAGCGUCAUUUGUACCUUCAAGCUUUGCUUGGUGUUGGGUGUUUGUCUCGCCUUUGCGUGUAGACUCGCCUUAAAAUAAUUGGCAGCCGGCGUAUUGAUUUCGGAGCGCAGUACAUCUCGCGCUUUGCACUCAUAACGACAGCGUCCAAAAGUACAUUUUACACUCUUGACCUCGGAUCAGGUAGGGAUACCCGCUGAACUUAAGCAUAUCAAUAAGCGGAGGA